UGUGAUCAGGACAGAACACAGACCUCUCACCAUGGAGUUAGUGCUUGGCUGGGUUUUCCUUGUUGCUGUUCUAAAAGGUGUCCAGUGUGAGGUGCAGCUGGUGGAGUCUGGGGGAGGCCUGGCGAAGCCUGGGGGCUCCCUGCGACUCACCUGUGCAGCCUCCGGAUUCGAGUUCAGUAAAUAUGCCAUGUACUGGUUACGCCAGGCUCCCGAGAAGGGGCUGGAGUGGGUCUCAUAUAUUAGUACUGAUGGAAGUAGCACAGGCUAUGCAGACUCCGUGAAGGGCCGAAUCACCAUCUCCAGAGACAACGCCAAGAAUACGCUCUAUCUGCAGAUGAACAGCCUGAGAGUCGAGGACACAGCCCGCUAUUUCUGUGCAAGAGACACAGUGAGGGGACGUCAGUCCCCCAGCUGUUUAUGCAACUACCCUUCUGGGACAAACCAGCUCCAGCCACAGCACAGCAAGACCCGCUUCCAGAGGAUAAGUGGGGUUCCUGUCAUAUUGAGUUCAUACAAUCUGGAGUCUUCAAACCCAGCUAGAGCUCCUGAGAUAAAACAUGAAGAGUACUGUGCCGCCAGGUGGGCAUAUGGCUUGGACACAGACAGGACGAAGGCAGGGUUAUGA